GCUCAGCCAUUUGCCAAGUAACUGAAACUUCCUUACUACAAGAACUCCAGCAAAGGAGUUGCAGCAAAGCCUAAUCCCAAUUAAUAGGGAAAGUAAAUUAAUGAAUGUUCUAGAGCUAAUUUUCAUGAGGACCUUCUACAUUCAAAAAUACAGUUUUGAAAAUAUCAA